GUAUGUCUGUGUGUGUGUCAGUAUGUAUGUCUUUGUGUGUGUCAGUAUGUCUGUGUGAGUGUCAGUAUGUAUGUGUCAGUCAGUAUAUGUCUGUGUGUCAGUUUGUAUGUCUGUCUGUGUGUCAGUUUGUAUGUAUAUGUGUGUGUCAGUUUGUAUGUAUGUGUGUGUGUCAGUAUGUACGUCUUUGUGUGUGUGUCAGUAUGUAUGUCUUUGUGUGUGUCAGUAUGUCUGUGUGAGUGUCAGUAUGUAUGUGUCAGUCAGUAUAUGUCUGUGUGUCAGUUUGUAUGUCUGUCUGUGUGUCAGUUUGUAUGUAUGUGUGUGUGUCAGUAUGUAUGUCUUUGUGUGUGUGUCAGUAUGUAUGUCUUUGUGUGUGUCAGUAUGUCUGUGUGAGUGUCAGUAUGUAUGUGUCAGUCAGUAUAUGUCUGUGUGUCAGUUUGUAUGUCUGUGUGUGUGUCAGUAUGUAUGUCUGUGUGUGUGUGUCAGUAUGUAUGUCUUUGUGUGUGUCAGUAUGUCUGUGUGAGUGUCAGUAUGUAUGUGUCAGUCAGUAUAUGUCUGUGUGUCAGUUUGUAUGUCUGUGUGUGUGUCAGUUUGUAUGUCAUGUGUGUGUCAGUUUGUAUGUAUGUGUGUGUGUCAGUUUGUAUGUAUGUGUGUGUGUGUGUCAGUAUGUAUGUCUUUGUGUGUGUGUCAGUAUGUAUGUCUUUGUGUGUGUCAGUAUGUCUGUGUGUGUGUCAGUAUGUAUGUCUUUGUGUGUGUCAGUAUGUCUGUGUGAGUGUCAGUAUGUAUGUGUCAGUCAGUAUAUGUCUGUGUGUCAGUUUGUAUGU